rnacentral:rRNA from 1 species
AUUGAACGCUGGCGGCAGGCCUAACACAUGCAAGUCGAGCGAGCGGCGGACGGGUGAGUAAUGUAUGGGGACUGCCCGAUAGAGGGGGAGAACUACUGUAAACGGUAGCUAAUACCGCAUACAAUCGGAUAACCCAUAUGGGAUUAGCUAGUAGGUGAGGUAAUGGCUCACCUAGGCGACGAUCCCUAGCUGGUCUGAGAGGAUGAGCAGCCACACUGGGACGGAGAAACGGCCCAGACUCCUACGGAGGCAGCAGUGGGGAAUAUUGCACAAUGGGCGAAAGCCUGAUGCAGCCAUGCCGCGUGUAUGAAGAAGGCCUUAGGGUUGUAAAGUACUUUAAGUCGGGAGGCGUUACCGACAGAAGAAGCACCGGCUAACUACGUGCCAGCAGCCGCGGUAAUUC